rnacentral:piRNA from 1 species
UAUGACUUUGUUGUAAGCCUCCUUAUUCC